CCUACGGGUGGCAGCAGUGGGGAAUAUUGGGCAAUGGGCGCAAGCCUGACCCAGCAACGCCGCGUGAAGGAAGAAGGCUUUCGGGUUGUAAACUUCUUUUCUGAGGGACGAAGAAAGUGACGGUACCUCAGGUAUAAGCCACCGCUAACUACGGGCCAGCAGCCGCGGGAAUACGUAGGUGGCAAGCGUUAUCCGGAUUUAUUGGGUGUAAAGGCCGUGUAGGCGGGAAAGCAAGUCAGAUGUGAAAACUCAGGGCUCAACCCUGAGCCUGCAUUUGAAACUGUUAUUCGUGAGUGCUGGAGAGGCAAUCGGAAUUCCGGGUGAAGCGGUGAAAUGCGUAGAUAUACGGAGGAACACCAGUGGCGAAGGCGGAUUGCUGGA
rnacentral:rRNA from 1 species